rnacentral:lncRNA from 1 species
GACUUUCUCAUGCUCUCCUCCCACAAGCCAACAGUUCCAAAGCCAUGAGAUUUCUGCUUCUGCCAACCUAGAGCUGAACGGUGCACCAUCUCAGUGACAGCUUUCUUGCAGGCUGACUUACUUUGACCAAUGACUUUCAGGAUUGUCCUCCUCCAAGCCAACUGCCACACGUGAACGCUAGCCUGCUGGAAAGGGCACAUGGAGAAUAGUGGUGUCAUGAGUGAUAGCCCCAACCAGUGACCAGUUGAGUGAUGGAAGCCACCUUCCACAGGCAAGCCAAUGAGCCAAAAAUUUGAUUCUGCUCCUAGAAUUGCCAGGAACACGUCACCUCCUUAGCAGGUGCUCGGAACAUAUUUGGAAGAUGAAUGAGUCCCCUCGUAUCAAUGCACAUUCCUCAGCAAAAAGUCACAGGCUGCAAAACUUCAAAAAAAAAAAAAGCAGGAAAACGGUGUAUGUGCUUCAGAGAGCCACCCACUGUGCCAAGCAUGGCGACGUAAGCCGUCUCAUUUGAACCUCCUCACAACAGGAUGGGAACUGCAUAAUCUGGGCACAGUGCCCCAUGCCUGUGUCCUAGCACUCAGCGAGUUGAGGAAGGAAGACCAGAAGGUACAGGGUCGUUCUCGGCCAUAUUUGCGGUUUGUGGCCAGCCUGGGAGACCCAAACUUGGGCUAAUGAAGAACUUUGGAUAUGAACUGCAGGAUUGCUGUAAGGAACAGCUGACACCCUGAACUCCGCACGGAGAACGCUGUAGUGAGAGAACUGACGGGGAGAGAGGAACAUGGUACCAAAGUAGGAAUGGGUGAGGCUCUGUGUGCCCACAGGACAUGUCCUUUCAUGGGUUGUGGGUCAGGUUCAGCCACAGUGUGAUUGCUCAGCUGAUGUGUGUAUGCUAAAGGGCAGGGUCCAUGCAUUAGGAGUGGCUGGGCUGGUGUGGUAUGCUGUGCUGUGUUUCCCGUGGGGAUGGCGGUGAUUCAUUACCCUUCCACUCAGCUUCUAUCAGGGUUCAACUUGUAGUAAACAAGUCAGAAAAUGCCAUCUGGGUGAGAAAGAGACAAGGGGGGGGGGGGAGGAGGAGGAGCUUCCGAGGUGACCCUCAGUGUCCUGUCAGCCCCAAAUCUUCCUGGAAAGUACACACUGGAUCCACAGAGCUCAGAAUCUCUCUCACCAAUGGCAGAAAAACCUUCUUCACCCAAUUUCCGAUCUUUUUUUUUUCUGGAAUGUUCUAGAAACUCUACUCUCCUGGGAUGAUUCUGAGAUAUAACCACUCCAGCUUGCACUGGGGGGCAGGGGGGGUUUUCUGCUGCCCAGAGGAUAUCUUUUGGGGUGCUUCUGGGAGGUGUGCAUCAAUAAAUCAACCUGUGCAUGCUAUUAAUCAACAGUUUCCCUGAAGUCUGGCCAGCAAAAUUCAGGCUUGUUGUCUAAGUGAGUAGGUCUGACGUUCUCGGAGCAGAGAAAACAGGAGACACAGUUCAGCCCGCAAGAUGAAUAAAACCACAAUCACAACAAGAGCACAACUAGAGGAACGAUUAAGUGUCAGAUUGUGAGAGUCUCUCUUGGUUCACCAGGGCUUUCAAAAGGACAGGUAAGACUAGCCAAUUUGCCCCAAAAAUAAGCCAAACGAGACUGGAAGGGCUUGAACACUAGAAGUGGCCUCAAGGCUCUGACCCCUGGGAAGCUGAGGUUAAGAUGGUUCUAGGACUGGUUCCUUCUGAGGCUGUGAGCAAGACUGUUUAACUCCUGUCUCGCUUCUGCUGGCGACUAACAUUUGUUUGUGUCUGCUAGUCUCUACCGUUGAAACAACUACAUCUGCACAGACCCCAUUCCAAGCAAGGUUGCAUUCUGAGGUACGGAGGUCUAGGAGUUCAAUCCAUGAAUUAUGGAUGGUGACACAUAAUUUAACCCAUAGCAUAACCAGAAGCGGGUUCCACAUAUGGAUCACGCACAGGAUCUUCUUUUGCCAGUCCACAGAUCGCCAACGAGUCUUCCCGAAAACGACUUGCACUCCCCCGGCCCCGCCCUUCGAGGUGGUAGCGGGCCUCACCUUAUCUUACUUGUAACUCAGGUGUGACUGGCCCCACCCUGGGUGAGAGGUUACUGUGAGCAACCAACACUGGGAGAUCAUGGAGGAAUGGGCCAAGAAGGGACCUCAGGAUAAAAAUAGCUCCAGCAGUAGUGGUAGGUGGCGUGUGCCCAGAUGACCUUUGACCUUUGAGACUUUGAAAGUCACCAGGUUGGGAUGACUCAGCUCUCUGCUCAUCACCUUGGGGAAGAGUGACCGUACAUGGAGGGGGGGGGCGGGGGGGUCACUUCUCUUUUCCUUCCUCCCCUGGCAGCUCUUCAGGAGCUUCCAGAAGCCUGAAGAGGGUCCCAUGAUGACACUGAUGUAAUCCUGUGUGCCCCUGUAAAAGGGGAGUGGUGGGAUCAGAACUGAACUGUCUUUCAAAGCAGGCUUUGGACUGAGCGCUCUAGACCCAUUAAUGCAGGGUCUGACUCUUCCAGACUGAGAGACUGCUGAAGGAAGAAGCAGUGACCCACGGCUGAGUACAGUGGCCAGGGUUCCAGGGUACACAUAUGUCAAUUCACCCCUCUGGAGGCAUGGGCUGCUGGAAGUGAGUUCCGUGAGAAACUGUUUGGUAUAAUCCGUGAAUGCUGAGAGAACUGUAGGCUGUCUGUGGGGAAGAGGGAGCAGGCGUUGCCCUCUCGCCUGUGAAUCACUAGUGCCUGCUGCAGAGAAGCCUGGGCCCACAGGGCACCGGGCAUGAAGGAAAGCAAGCGGUUCCGUGUUGAAGGCAAGGAUCUCUGUCCUGCAGCAGUGAACUUCCUGCCUUUGAACCCACUCACCACACUCCCUUUACGGAUCUCAGGGAAACCCCAGAGCCACGGUGCAACCCCUCCCCACCCACCCAGGCCCGCUCCAUGGCCCAGGUACGAGCUUACUGGGACUUGAAGCAGCACACGUGGGCUCUGGUUCUCACCCGCCGCUCUCAUCAGGCGGGGCUUCCCCAGAACAAAGGGUGCCAUCUGCUCAAGGACAAACCCAGACUUCAUUUCUGUUGAUAUCUUCUUUCACCAUCUUUCCUUCCUUAGGCUGUAUUUUAAAUAUUCUCAGUCAUCCUAUCAGACAGAAUGUGUUUUACUAAAAUGUCAACUUUGUACAGUAAAUGGGUGACCCGUAGAGGAAAAAGCCACCUACAGGAUGCAUGAACAGAUUUGCAAAUUGUAGACCUGAUAAAGGACCAAUAUCCGGGAUAUACAAAGAACUCCUACAAACCGCUGCCACCGCCAGAAACCGGGGUGGGUGGGGNNNNNNNNNNNNNNNNNNNNNNGCGGAUUUCUGAGUUCAAGGCCAGCCUGGUCUACAGAGUGAGUUCCAGGAUAGCCAGUGCUGUACAGAGAAACCCUGUCUCGAAAAACAACAACAAAAAAACAAAACAAAACAAAACAAAACAGAAACUACUUCCCACCUAUCAGAGCAGCUACCAUGUAAAAACCAUUACUAGUGUUGGUAGGAUGCCCUGGACCCUGUUGGUGGGAAACAAACAUGACUAACUCUGUAGAAUACUCUCUUUAAAGAAAUGAAGGAAGGGAAAGGAAAGGGGGAGAGGAAAUGGAAGAAAUAGAAUUAUUGUAUGGCCCAGUAAUUCUGUUUCCAGGUAUGAACGCAAAAGAGUAUUUUAAAGGUCAUGGAGGCUGACAAGAUGGAGGAAGGGCAGGUUUAGCUGUAUCUUCUGGGUCACCUGGCAGCCAUUGGUAGCUGUGUGGAAGGUGGUGGUCAUGUACUUGGAGGGCAACAAUAUUUUUGGCACUCAUCCUUCUCGAGCUGUAUUCGCCUUGGCUGGAAAACAACCAUUCCUACUUUCCACAACCCCGCCAAAGACGAGAGAGAAAGCCUGAGACCUGGAGGGAGGGUAAAGGCACAGAAGGUCUCCUUAGGUAACAUGCCAGAAUGUUCCAGAAUACAGACUUUUGAGCUCAGACUCCACUUCAUAGCAAAGUCCCCUUAACCCCACCAUGGGCCUGCCUCCACACAGAGGUAAGUUGGAAACAUGGGUGCUUAGAAAGGCCUUAGAAGAAAACACAAAGAUGCUGUCCAAAGCUGAGUGCCCAAGGCCGGGUGUCCAAGGCUGGGUGGCCAAGGCUGGGUGGCCAAGCCUGUGUGUCCAAGGCUGGGUGGCCAAGCCUGUGUGUCCUAGGCUGGGUGCCCAAGGCCAGGUGUCCAAGCCUGGGUGUCUAAGCCUAUGUGUUCAAGGCUGGGUUGGACAGCCUGGGUGUCCAAGGCUGGGUGUCCAAGACCAGGUGUCCAAGCCUGUGUGUCCAAAGCUGGGUGCCCAAUCACCCAGGCACUUGCCAGGCACCAUCAUAGGCACACCGGGCCCAAGAGGAGAGGAUGUGGGUUUGAAUAAGACCCAGACUUGGCCCACGUUUGUCGAAAGUGUAACAGUGAACUCAGACAUCUAAAGAUGGAUCACAGAACAGUGACGCAGUUAGUGUACGUGUGCAGAAAACCGAACAGAAGCAAAAACAAAGAGGACAAAACAAGAAACCCCUGAACUUAGAAGUGGCUGGAAUUCAAAUAUGCAUUUCCCCCGGAGGUGUGAAGUCUGUAUGCAAAAAGAGGCAGACACCCGUUACUCUGUAGGGAGAUGCAAAUCCAAACCACAGUGAGAUGCCACCUCACACCCAGCCUACCUCGCUAAGGGAAAGGACAGAUCCUGACAAGUGUUCAAAGAGGUGAGACAUUGGAACCCUCACAGCUGGCAGACAUAACAAAGCAGCUCUGUUAAACAGUUACUUUUCUCAAAGUUUAAAAAAUAGGAAGUGAAAGUUACAUAUGAGCCAGGGUUCUGAAAGAAACAAUGUCUAAGACUUUAAAUUCAGAAUUCUUUGUUCUUUCUUGACAGGAAGAAAAAAAAAAAGAAAUAAAAUUGCUCGUCAAUUUAUAC